UACGGGGGGGGCAAGCGUUGUUCGGAAUUACUGGGCGUAAAGGGCUCGUAGGCGGCCAUCUAAGUCGGAUGUGAAAUCCCGGGGCUCAACCCCGGAACUGCAUUCGAUACUGCUUUGCUUGAGUACUGGAGAGGAGACUGGAAUUUACGGUGUAGCAGUGAAAUGCGUAGAUAUCGUAAGGAAGACCAGUGGCGAAGGCGAGUCUCUGGACAGUUACUGACGCUGAGGCACGAAGGCCAGGGGAGCAAACGGG
rnacentral:rRNA from 1 species